CCAAGACCCUGGGAUGACAACCUGAGCCAAAGGCAGACACCCAACUGACAGAGCCACACAGAAAAAAAAUGAGGAAAUCUGUCAUGAGGAUGAUUAAAGGAAAAGCGUUGACUAUAUUAAGCCCUGCCAGCUAUUUGGCAUAUGAAGGUCCUGACCUGGGAAAACCAUCUCGGAUAACCACGCAAGGAGAGGGAAAAAUGCAACACCUAGGAGAUUUCAGUAAACAGUAGAAUCAUGCCAACCUAAUCUGUGUUAAAAUGCUUGGAAUGUGGGAGCCGCCGAUGAUGCCUGUUGUCUGUGUGUCUGACUGAAUCCUUUCUUUUCUCAGAGCAGCAAAGCCAAGCCUGGGAACCAGGCCAAAUGCCUGCCACUUACCUUAAAUUGAUCAGCCACUUUGAGAUUAAAACCCCUGAAAGCUGCCACACCGUGAAAACAAGGCCUCCUUCACAUUAAAGGCAAAUUGCGACUUUGGGUUUGCUGUGAUC